AAAAGAGAACCAAAAGGAAAAAAAAAGAAGAAAGGAGAAGUGACCAUCGACGAAGCUGCCGGUUGUCUGAUCGUUGUUGGUCUUUGUUGUUGAGUUUUGGGGAAACAGAAAGUGAAAGGAAAGAAUAUCGGGGGUUUUAAACUUUUGAGGAUGGAUGAGUAAGGGGCCAGUGCGUUUCGAGGAUGGAAAAGUCAGUGGAUGCAGUUUGAAGCGGUCUAGGAAGUUUCAGCUUGAAGAUAGGCUCUUCUCAUUGUCUUCAGUUACGUCCCCUGCUGUGUGUACUUUGACUAUUAACCCAUGGGAGAUCCGACUUGGGUCCUGGCAGAUCGAAAGGUGGAGGCAUAUAUUCCAGUGGACAAUUGGUUAAGGAUCGAGCAUCUAAGCAGCGGGAUUGAAUACCCCGAUCGAGUCAGAGUUCAUACCACCCGCCCUGAACAAAUAGAAGGCGUGAGCCACAGAUCGCACAUAAGCCACCAGGUUGCACGACAGAAGAACACCCAACAUAAAGAUGCACACUCCGAAAUAUUCAUCUUCAUUAGAGCUUUUUGGUAGUAGUUGUGACGAACAACCAUCAGAUGUCGGCUCAUUGGUAAGGCGAGAGCUUCAAGCCUGAUUUUUGAUAGCAUACCCCACACACAAGCACCACCUGACAAAGGGUGGACGAGGAAAGCUACAGGCCCAAAACCUUCUACCCUUCUUUCUAAAUGGGGGUGCUUGGAGCACCUCAUCUUGGAAUUGAGUCCUUGCUCAUUCCCGUCAGGCCCGAGUGAUUGACUUUUCCUUCUCCACAUCCACUCACGCUUCAUUGAACCAUGGCAUGGUAAAGAGAAGAGAGUAUGAAAGAAUAGUAAACAGAACACACCGCAGAAAGAUUCAAAAUAUGAGAAGGCAUUUAACCAUUAAACCAUUGUAGGUUGGCCUAGUGAUAAAUAGUGGGUAAAUAAAAGGCUAAGAGGUCAUGAGUUCAAUCCAUAGUGGCCACCAACCUAUGAUCUAAUAUAUUGCGAGUUUUCUUGACACCAAAUGUUGUAGGGUCAUAGCCCCUGAGCUAUUUUACUUUAUAACAAUGAGUUUUUUUAAGGUCUUUUAUCCUUGGAUAGUUUUGAUGAGAAUUUAUGCAUUGCAUUUGCAAAACCGGAAAAGGGAGGAUGGGUUUCGGUGGAUGCAAAGAGAAUGCAGCAUUCAAGCGAGCAAGAUUUCGACUACGAUGAUGAUCCAGACUUGACAUUGUAAAUUGUAAAUGGAUCCUUUGAUGGCGUCUUUGUCAUCUACAGAGUUGAAAGAUGAGUACCCUAAAUCCUCUUAUUGUAUUUCUAAGUAGGCAACCUAUCUUUGCCAAGGCUAACGUAGGGAAGUGUAGCCUAUUUUAUAUAUGUGUUUGACCAUGCUUAUCUUUAGAUCGUUUUAUAUUAUAAAUGAAGUAGAUAGGAUUCAAAUC